rnacentral:lncRNA from 1 species
GCAGACGGAAGUCAUCUGCUGUAGAAGCCCGGACAGAAACUUUCUGUUAAAAAAAUCUGGCUGGAGUCUGAUUGCUAGAGAAGUUUGUCUGAAAUUUGUCUGAUGUAGAAGCUUGUUUGAAGACCGUCCGCUGGAGAGGUCCGGUUGCAUGAGGAAUCUGACAGAAGGUCGAUCGAUAGCGGAAUUCGAAAGGUGCUAUAGAAGGUUGACUGAUAGAAGAGUCCGAAAGGUGUUAUGAAUGUUUGUCCGCUGGAGGAGUCUGGAGGACACUAUGGAAGGUCGACCGCUGGAGGGGUCCGAAGAGAAUUUGUCUGUUGGAAGCUCGGAUGGACACUAUGG